GAUGUGAUUUAUACUGUUUCCGCACCGGGUCGAUACAUCAGCAGGCAACCCCCAAAAGAGACCACGUCUGUCAGUAUCAUGUGACCCGAGACAUGAAGGAUGUGAGGUCCGCAGGAAUCCUUAUCUUGCAUGGAACGCUGUACCCAGGAUGCUAACCCCCAAGCGAUGCUUGUUUUCACCUCGUGGAUAAGGACUCUGAAAUUCAGAGCGAAUAAAUGAGGAUGAAUUCUACACUUGAUCUUAGCCAAAAGACCGAGCAGCGAUCAGGAUAAAUUCUGUAAUUGAAGAGCCUUCAUGAGCCCCUCCACGGUGUAAUUGUAAUAGUGAUGAUCUGGCAUGAUGCUCCAGCUCUAUCUGAACAAAGUGGCUCCUUUCACUUCAGCAACCCAAGAUUGUGGAUGGUACUCAACGGGACACUGAAACUUUUCAAGAUGUGAUGGUGAUUUCUCUUACUGUUCAUUUGCAUGUUGAAGUCUUGUUAUUUUCCCUGUUCUUUUUCCAAGCAUGCUCCUUCACCAUUAUCUUCAAAUGUUAGUUGCUUAUACAGAGAUUUUCCCAGGGAUCUUAGGGCUGACAAUUUCUUUGUAGGAGCAAUUGAUUAUUCACUGUGUUUUAAUGACAAUGAAGAGAUUAAGAAAAAAAACUCUAAUAUAUACUGAAUGUCAAUGCCAUGAAAAAACCUUUGGUUUUUCAUAAGCAUUGUCUUGAUCAGUUAUCAAAAAUCUCAUAAAAUACUGAUGAGUUAGGUAUUAUUUCAAUUUUAAAAUUGAGGAAAUUGUGCCUCAGUGAUAUUAAGGGGACUUGACCAAACUCAAGAAUAAAAUAGGCAGCAGUAUUUAUUUAUUUAUUUAGUUCUUUGUUUUUAAUGUUUAUUUUAUUUUUGAGAGAGAGAGAGAGAGAAAGAUAC